CAGUAGCCGCGGUAAUACGAAGGGUGCAAGCGUUAAUCGGAAUGACUGGGCGUAAAGGGCGCGUAGGCGGCGAUCAAAGUCAGGCGUGAAAUUCCUGGGCUCAACCUGGGGGCUGCGCUUGAUACUUGGUUGCUUGAGUGGGGAAGAGGGUCGUGGAAUUCCCAGUGUAGAGGUGAAAUUCGUAGAUAUUGGGAAGAACACCGGUGGCGAAGGCGGCGACCUGGUCCUUGACUGACGCUGAGGCGCGAAAGCGUGGGGAGCAAACAGGAUUAGAUACCCCCGUAGUCCCUGUCUCUUAUAC
rnacentral:rRNA from 1 species